AUACGUAGGUGGCGAGCGUUGUCCGGAAUUACUGGGUGUAAAGGGCGUGUAGGCGGGGUAGCAAGUCAGAUGUGAAAUUUUGGAGCUUAACUCCAAAGCUGCAUCUGAAACUGUUACUCUUGAGUAUCGGAGAGGAAAGUGGAAUUCCUAGUGUAGCGGUGAAAUGCGUAGAGAUUAGGAGGAACACCAGUGGCGAAGGCGGCUUUCUGGACGAUAACUGACGCUGAGGCGCGAAAGCGUGGGGAGCGAACAGGAUUAGAUACCCUGGUAGUCCACGCCGUAAACGAUGGAUACUAGGUGUAGGGGGUAUCGACCCCUUCUGUGCCGGAGUUAACACAAUAAGUAUCCCACCUGGGGAGUACGACCGCAAGGUUGAA
rnacentral:rRNA from 1 species